GAUGAACGCUGGCGGCGUGCCUAAUACAUGCAAGUCGAGCGAACGGACGAGAAGCUUGCUUCUCUGAUGUUAGCGGCGGACGGGUGAGUAACACGUGGAUAACCUACCUAUAAGACUGGGAUAACUUCGGGAAACCGGAGCUAAUACCGGAUAAUAUUUUGAACCGCAUGGUUCAAAAGUGAAAGACGGUCUUGCUGUCACUUAUAGAUGGAUCCGCGCUGCAUUAGCUAGUUGGUAAGGUAACGGCUUACCAAGGCAACGAUGCGUAGCCGACCUGAGAGGGUGAUCGGCCACACUGGAACUGAGACACGGUCCAGACACCUACGGGAGGCAGCAGUAGGGAAUCUUCCGCAAUGGGCGAAAGCCUGACGGAUCAACGCCGCGUGAGUGAUGAAGGUCUUCGGAUCGUAAAACUCUGUUAUUAGGGAAGAACAAAUGUGUAAGUAACUAUGCACGUCUUGACGGUACCUAAUCAGAAAGCCACGGCUAACUACGUG
rnacentral:rRNA from 1 species